rnacentral:lncRNA from 1 species
ACGUAGCAGAUUUUUUGAUAGUCGUAAUUAAAUAUUUUGGAUAGAUUUAAUUUUUGAAUGAAACACUUCCUUCUCGUUCAUUGCAUUAUCUGUUGCACUUCAAAUGCACAUAUUUAUGUUUAUCUGUUGUAGGGUUGCCAUACAACAAGUAUUAUUCGAAAUUGUAGGUAUUUUGGCUGUCAUUCCAGGAAAACUUUGUAUAGUUUUGAUAUACUUUAAGUAUUGAUUUUUGGAAAAUAUAAUAUUUUAGAGACAUGAUAACAAAUGUUAUCAUAGGUUUUUUAAGGCUGUUCUGGAAUGAUAUUUGUUAGGUUUUGUUUACUUCAAGGUCUGAUACAGAAACUGGAGUAAUUUUCAUUUAAUGAAUUAGAGUAUUUUAUUGUUUAUUCGUUUGCCACCCGGCUUUUGUUUUGGGUCCUUUAAAUUCGAGAUCAUUCAGUGCGCCGUUCUUUCUGUGACGAGAUCCUCUUGUAUAGUGAUCGGACGGCCGUAUAAGGGCCUGGAGCCCGGCAUGCCACGUGCUGCCGUGGCGUUCCAUAUUUUGUGUGGUGCGUUCUGUCAGUCUGACUGGCAGAAACAUGCUAAGGGUGGGAGUGCUCCGUGGAGAUCCUCGGUCUGCAGUCUGCAGGUCUUCGGAGUCGGGCAGAAUUAAAGAAGUAAAGAAUUAGAGAAUUGCAGAAGUAAAGAUUUAAAGAUUCAGAAGUAGAAUUUAACAAGAACUUUUACAAUUUUGAUGUGCAAGGAAACUUUCUUUGGCGUUACUGGCGCAAGGUGCCUUUGGACCUUGUUUUCGUAUGGAAGGGUCAGCCCUGUCCACGUGGCGAGGGGGCGUCAGCACCGGAGUCCGGGGAGCAGCCGGCUCAUCCCUGACAAGGUGUGUCUCCUGCCCGUUUCCUGCCGGUAAUGCUGUGUAAUUCAGGUUUUUAAUUUCUGUGUAAAGUAAUUUCUGAUUUCAUUUAUUUUGAGAAUUCUGGUGCAUAACUUUAGGUAAAUUCAUAUUUAGUUUUUGUAGAAUAAAUGGUUGUAAGAAACCUUUUUCCUGGACCCUCUUAAAGCGGCCCAGCUUUACCACUGAGCGUAGUUCAUAUUUUAUAUGGUGUCGAAUUUAGUAUUUCGGGAAACAUUAAAUGAAACCUUUCUGUAGGCAAGAGUUUAUUUAUAAUUAAUAAAGUUAUAAAAUGUGA